rnacentral:rRNA from 1 species
UACAGGGGGGGCAAGCGUUAUUCAUCACGACUGGGCGUAAAGGGCACGUAGGUGGUUUAUGUAUUUUUUUGUUAAAUUCUAGAGAUACUUACUUUAGCGUAGCAAAAAAAAAGCAUAGAACUGGAGUUAGAAAGGCGUUGGUGGAACUCUCGGAGGAGCGCUGAAAUGCUUAGAUACCUUGAAGAAUGCCGAAAUGAAAAUAUCUUUCGCUUGAUAACUGACACUGAGGUGCGAAGGCGUGGGGAGCAAU